GGUACGCACAGGCUUACGCACAGGCUUACGAUUGGUGUGCCUCCAGGCUUGGAGGGCUUGCCCUGUGUUGAUUGGUCAACUGGUUGUUAUGGCCCAUAGGCCCUCCCAGGGUGGUUGCUAUGCUCUCUACGUCGUUGCUGUGUGCUUGUCCGUAAAGCACACCCAGGGUCAUAAAGCAUAGCGCCACCAGCUAACUUCUGAUUGGUUCCUUGUCAUGAGGCAGGCAUCUGACUUUCUAGUGUCUAGGACAAGGUCAUAGAAGCACGUGUUCGGCCGUUAUGGCUGCCAAAAGGGAAGCUGGUCCCUUCACAUACACGUGGUGUGCAGAAUGCUGGAGCAGGGAAACCGUGGGGGUCUCUUCCCCACCCCCACAUUGGCAGAGGGUCUGGGAUUGCCAGCAGCACCCCACCCCCCAGCUGAGCACUUGGAGCUGGGGCAGGUGAACCAUCUGGCCUGAUCUGGAUGUUCUAAAGAAACGGCCUUAAAGCUAUUAAAAACUAUAAGGACUUUGGUUUCUGCUUCUGGCAGACACAUCUGAGUAUCAGUUGCUGACUACAGGCUGUUCCUAAGUAGACUGCGAGCCCUGGAUGUGCUGUGGAUGUGAACCAGUCCAGCUGAUAUGGACAGCCGCUGUCUCUGCAACAGAGUCUGCCAACCAGAAGCUCCUGAUGGAUUCCCCAUUGCCUGAAUUCCCUUUUUGCUUUUGACUAGCAUUUCAGCCUUCUUGGGUCCCUAACUUCGUCUCAAAGUCAGCAGGAAGUAGAAUGGGAAAGAAUACGUUGCCCAUUUUCCCUGGUUGAAAUGCUAAGUCAAAAUAAACUCUGUUACAAUAAAUCUUUCCGCCAAAAGCUGCCCGAACCCUACAGCCACGUGGAUGGUCUCCACCAGCCACCUGAGUUCUGCCCGCCGAGUUAGGGCCCAAUUAAUGCACAGAGACUUAUAUUAGGUACAAAUGCUGCUUGGCCAAUGACGAGGAUGCUCAUCUGUUAGCUCAGUCUUAAUUAUCAUAAAAUCUAUGUAUUUUAUAAGACUUAUCAGACACCUUCCAUUGGCGUCCUCUCUUGCUGGUGGAUCAUAUCGUGAAUCUGGAGGAAGAGAAGAGGGGGAAGAGGACUACUUCCUGCUUGUCCUUCCUUAAAUAUGAGUCUUCCUGCUAUGUCACUUCCUGCCUGGAUCACCACUUCUUUACUACAUUUCCCAGAAUCCUCCCACCUAACGUGCUGCCACAUUGGCAAACAGUACUUUAUUGAACAAUCAAUAAGAUGAACAUACACAGAAGCACAUUCCCCCUCAAAACUCCUUUACAUAGGGGGUGCCAAUUAUCUCUCACUUCCUGAUAAGGACACUGGAGAGACAGCAAUUCCAUGACUGGAAUCUCCACAAAAGAAAAUGGGGGAAUGAAGGGACCAGCUCCCCAUUUCAGCAGCUAUAACAGCCUACCACGUGCUUGCCUGACCUUGCCUUGGUCACUAGGAGGUCAGAUGCCUGCCUUGUGGCAAGGAACCAAUUGGAAGUUAGCUGGUAGUGCUAUGCUUUAUGGCUCUGGGUGUGCUUUAUGGACAAGUGCACAGCAAUGACGUGCAGAGCAUAGCAACCGCCCUGGGAUGGCCUAUGGGCCAUAGCAACCAGUUGACCAAUCAACACAGGGCAAGUUCUCCAGGCCUGGAGGCACACCAAUCCUGAGCCUGUGCAUACUCCUAGACACUCCCCUUACACUGCCCUAUAAGAUCUUUAUGCCAUGGCGUCUCGGCAUCUUUCCCAGCCAUCAGCCAUGGUGGAUGGAUGAAAGGCCCGAGCUAACAUGGGGUUAUCUUGUUAAAACAACUGCAAUAAAACCUCGUGCUGUUUGCAUCAAGCUUUUGACUCUGUCUGGUGAUUGGGGUUGUCGAGGUCCUGGACCGAGAUCCUGGGGGCCUGAGCCUCCGGGGUCUUUCACACCCUCUUGCUGCCUGGCCUUUCUAGGUUGCUGCUUGUCC
ensembl:lncRNA